AUGGGAAGAGGUAAAGUCUGGGCUCAUUGAAAUCAUUCCUUUGAUAUGCACCUCAGCUGUCUGGGGCCAGUAACCUGUGUUUUCUCCUCCAGAGCUUCAGGGUGCACCAGUCGUUGGUGGCUGCAGCAGUUGACUGCUAGAUGGCAGGCAUCCUGUUUCUAUCUUGAGUUCCCUCAGAGCUCACCAUAGGGGCGGCUGUAAUGUGGUAGCUUGAAGGCUGCAACAUCUUUUGUUUCCUGAUAUGGCAAGCAGCAUUCUUAGUUCAUAAGUUGAAGCCCUUUUCUGUCUGGUCUGCCAACUAAAGGUUGCCCCUUGCCAUCUACCUCUACAAGGAUUAAAUCCCAAGCUGCUAUGACUGCUGACAACACAUCCUGAAAGGAGUUCGGGGUGGAGAUCAGGAAUGAGGUUCUCUGUGCUCUGGGAAAAACUGGCAGAACAGGCCUUCAGAUAGUUAGAUAUUUUCAGGAGAAGAUUUUAUGAGCCCAAUGCUUGCAUCUCCUCGUAGCUAGAAAAGCACUGAAGUCUUUCAUGGUGACGUCUGCUCCUCACAACUAGCAGUAACCUUCUCGAGCCUAGCAGAAACCUUCUGCAAAAAUGUGUGCUUGACUGCAUGCACCCCGCCUUCACCAGAAUCACAUAUAUACUGACCUUCCCCCCUGCCUCUUUGGAGCAGUUUCUCAGCUCUCUGAAAUGCUGCCUCCAGGGCUAUAGUCCUCCUUUCGCCCCCAAUAAAACGACUCACAACUCUCACAUUGUGCAAUUUUUUUUUCAGAUCACAGGUCCCUCCAGAAAUUGGAGACUCUUAGGUUCUGAGCAGCCUUAUGAGGUGAAAGGGAAAGACGGUCUCCUGGCAUGUGCAGGAAUCUCUAUAUUUGGGGACCGAGAAAUCCAAGGUGGAGCCUGAUGGCAGGUCUUUGGCAUGGCUUUCUUGGCCUUGAGAGGCCUUUUGGGAAUUCAGCCUGAGACUCCUUCUGAGGAGUUCUGCCUCAGCCACUUUGGAGGAGCCUACGUGGUCAAUUGAUCAGACUUGUUUUGCGAACAAAUUAGUUUUGAUUUGGCUGUGUUUGGUGGAGAUGAGAGUAAUUUUAGAUUGAAAAAGAUUGUUUCAAUAGAUAUUAAAUUCUAGUUCUGUUAAUUGAGGUCUGUAUUGAUGAAAGUUAUUGUGUUAGCCACACUUGCCCUGAUGUUCAGGAGGAAAAGAUUAUCCAGUGAAGUUAUCACAGAGUGUAACUACUCAUGAUGUAUAUAACAUUGCUCGCUUUAAGUCGGCUGCUAAAAGCACAUGUACAAGUCUUGCGUAACAAUUUGGUAUAAGUGAUAAAAUGUAUGGCCUAUUCCCCAUUAACAUACCCCUGAGUCUGUUCACAAGAUCUGAUUAAGUUUCCCCCAGUGUGAAUAACUAGGCGAAAAUAAAGGAGGUCCAGCACCGAGGGACAUGAUCUGAACCUGGGGUAGGAGCCAGCACCCCAGCAUUGAGGGACGGAUAUUUUGAUCAUCAAUGCUUUCUAUUGGAAGAUUUGCAAUCAAAAGGGGAAAUGAUGGAAAAAUCUACACGUAUUAAGCACUCAAAGCCAAUGCCUUUACAAGGUCUUUGCCGUGUAUUCACCAGAGAAGGCAGAAGCAUUACAAAUGGUGCCUCAGAUUCCACUGGACAGCCAAUCUCCCCACCGACUACCUGCAAAGUUACAAGGCCUACUUGGAGCACACAGGGAACCACACCUAUUUUUGGUCUUUUUCACAAUAUUUUCUUCAUGUCUUCUUUCUCUGACAAAACCUUAGAUGCUGGUAUUCCCCCCUUCUAAUCCUUGGCCCUCUCUCUUCCCUUCCCUUUUCAUUUAUUCCCCUUCAUUCAUAUGGCUCCAACUAUCAGCCAUAAGGUGAUAACUCCGCCUGUAACUCCAGGCCUGGCCUCUAAGCUCUAGAUUCUUGCUGUUCAAUAGGGCAGUUACUAGUCACAUGU